UACGGGGGGGGCAAGCGUUGUUCGGAAUUACUGGGCGUAAAGGGCGCGUAGGCGGCCCGCUAAGUCGAACGUGAAAUCCCCGGGCUCAACCCGGGAACUGCGUCCGAUACUGGCGGGCUUGAAUCCGGGAGAGGGAGGCGGAAUUCCAGGUGUAGCGGUGAAAUGCGUAGAUAUCUGGAGGAACACCGGUGGCGAAGGCGGCAUCCUGGACCGGCAUUGACGCUGAGGCGCGAAAGCCAGGGGAGCAAACGGG
rnacentral:rRNA from 1 species